UGGGGAAUAUUGGACAAUGGGGGCAACCCUGAUCCAGCAAUGCCGCGUGUGUGAAGAAGGUCUUCGGAUUGUAAAGCACUUUCGACGGGGACGAUGAUGACGGUACCCGUAGAAGAAGCCCCGGCUAACUUCGUGCCAGCAGCCGCGGUAAUACGAAGGGGGCUAGCGUUGCUCGGAAUGACUGGGCGUAAAGGGCGUGUAGGCGGUUUACACAGUCAGAUGUGAAAUCCCCGGGCUUAACCUGGGAGCUGCAUUUGAUACGUGUAGACUAGAGUGUGAGAGAGGGUUGUGGAAUUCCCAGUGUAGAGGUGAAAUUCGUAGAUAUUGGGAAGAACACCGGUGGCGAAGGCGGCAACCUGGCUCAUGACUGACGCUGAGGCGCGAAAGCGUGGGGAGCAAACAGGAUUAGAUACCCUGGUAGUCCACGCUGUAAACGAUGUGUGCUAGAUGUUGGGUAACUUUGUUAUUCAGUGUCGCAGUUAACGCGUUAAGCACACCG
rnacentral:rRNA from 1 species